rnacentral:rRNA from 1 species
AUUGAACGCUGGCGGCAUGCCUUACACAUGCAAGUCGAACGGUAACGGGCCUUCGGGUGCCGACGAGUGGCGAACGGGUGAGUAAUACAUCGGAACGUGCCCGAUCGUGGGGGAUAACGAGGCGAAAGCUUUGCUAAUACCGCAUACGAUCUACGGAUGAAAGCAGGGGACCGCAAGGCCUUGCGCGGACGGGGCGGCCGAUGGCAGAUUAGGUAGUUGGUGGGAUAAAAGCUUACCAAGCCGACGAUCUGUAGCUGGUCUGAGAGGAUGAUCAGCCACACUGGGACUGAGACACGGCCCAGACUCCUACGGGAGGCAGCGGUGGGGAAUUUUGGACAAUGGGCGCAAGCCUGAUCCAGCCAUGCCGCGUGCAGGAUGAAGGCCUUCGGGUUGUAAACUGCUUUUGUACGGAACGAAAAGCCUUCUUUUAAUACAGGAGGGUCAUGACGGUACCGGAAGAAUAAGCACCGGCUAACUACGUG